rnacentral:lncRNA from 1 species
AGGGUUUAAUUAUAUUUCACAGAAUAUGAUUAAAUACGAGACUGGGGAAGUUAUAAAAGUAACAGUGUAAAGGAAAAAAUCCAAAUACUUAGUUGAACACAUUUCAUCAUGGUCCUUAGUGGUGAAAGAUUUAUUACUCUAGUGUAAAUACAAGUCUGUCUUGGCUCAGUUAAGGACAUAGAGAGGUAGCACAGCCCUAAAUAAAUCCUCUCUUAGGCUCUGAAAGCUCUUUAUUCUCUACAACUUAUUUUAUUCUUUCUUGUGGGUAACUUUCACCUGGACUCUUUUGAUCUAGGUUCUUUACUUUUUUGUUAGUCCCCCUCUGCCUUCAUCCCUGGCUGUGUUCUGCUAUGUCCCAGAGCAGGAACUGUGUCCCAGAUUCAGUUUGUUGUGGCUGCUCUGAGCUGAUAUUGGUCUGUGUCCUGCCAUUACCCAUUACUUGGUCUCUUUGCUAUUUAGCAACAGCAAUCAUUGGAGCAUCUUAGGUUAAAAGGAGAAGAAAAGACUCAGUCAGCCUCAGAUUUCAGCAGAUCAUGAAUGGCAUUCAUAGUCACCUAGAACAAUUGUUCUUUCCAAAUUUGUUUUAUGUUAACAUUUUGCCUUUUAUUUUUAAAUAAAUUUAAAGCCUAUAUGGCUUGAAGUUUAGCUUUUCACUUAUGAUCUGCAUGCUGUUUUUCAAGAGUACAUAAGCAUAGCUGUCUAUUUAGGCAGGAGUUUAAGUUUCAAGCUUUGAGCUCUGUUGAUCAUUAUGUAUUCUAGAAAUAUGUUACAGAAAGAGAAGAAAAAUGAAAUACUGGUAGUAGACAAAAUUAGAUCAAAUCACACACAAAAAGUGCUUCACCAAGUAUUGAACUAGCAACUGACUGGAUAUGAUAUAGGUCUGUUUCUUUUUUUUUUUUUUUUAAGAUUACAUUCCAAAUCCUUAAAAUUGUACAUGUUCCAUGGUAUAUUACAAUGGAGUGUAUUUUGAGUUAUUUUUCAAUAUAAAAUUGACAUUUCUUUGCUGCUAGGAAUAUGCUAUUUUGAAAGUUUAAAAAAGUAAAACAUAGUGUGUUUUAUUUUCUAAAUUAGGUAUGCUUAGCACUAGCUUAAUGUAAAUAUUAAUAUUUUAUUCACAUAUUUAUAGUAAUAAAUAUUCAAAGAGAUUAACAUUGAGCCUUUUUUUUUCCUUUAAGGUUAUCAUUAAGUUAAGCUAUAAUGAGUAAAUAUUUAGCAUGUGAAGAUAUAAAUUAAUUUUUUAAGGAAAUAUUUAUUUAUUUAUUUAUUUAUCUAUAUAAGUACACUGUUGCUAUCUUAAGACAUACCAGAAGAGGAUAUUGGAUCCCAUUAUAGAUAGUUGUGAGCCACCAUAUGGUUGCUGGGAAUUGAACUCAGGAUCUCUGCAAGGUCAGUGUGCUCUUAAUUACUGAGCCAUCUCUCCAGCCCCCAUGAAUUAAUUUUUAAAGCAUAUCUAUAAAACAGUGCAUUUAAAAUAUUGAGCUAAUGUUAAUGUGGCAGAAUUACAACACACCAAGUUUUAUACAGUUAGCUUACUGGGAUUGCACCUCAUUGGAAUUGAGGGUUCUGUGUAGAACCAUGAGGUCAAAACAAAAGCGGUUCGUUUUCUUUUAAUCAAAGACACUUUCCUUAGUGCUUAAAAUUUGAGACAAUUUAACCACUGACUAUGUUUAUUGAUUAGAGAUAUUAACUUAGGAGUAUAAAUAAAAAGGACAAAAUAUGGUAUAUAUUAUGGUAUAAUUUUUCACAUUACAGGAACAAAUGUCUUGCUGUGUACCUUUGAAGAAAGUUAAAGGUGUAGCAGGCAGUGAUGACUACAGCAUCUGGUCUGAGUCUUUCUCAUUCUGCAGUCCAGCAGUACCUCUCUCCUCCUCUCAUGUGUCAUCAUUGUUUUGUUUCACAUCUUAAAGUAUAUUAUUUGUUUACUUUUUUCCUUCCUCAUUUGAAGCAUCCGCAGACAUCCAGUCCAGGAGAGUGUUGCCAAGAUGAUAGAUUCAUGUCAGAAGAGCAGAACCACCCAUCAGGUGCACUUAGUCACAGAGGUCUUCCAGACAGCCUGAUGAAAGUAGGUGCUCACGCCAGAGAAACGAGCUUGCUGUGCUUUGCACUGUUGGGAUGUAAAAUCUCAUGUGCUUCGACUAAAAAUAUUUUAUGAGGCUUUCUUGCAUUCAUUAUGUAGAAUUUUAAAUGAUUCAUAAAUACAAGAUGGAAUUUGACUCUGCUGUUUCCCAGUUUGCUUUUUUUUUUGUGAUAUUUCACACUAGAGAAUCAUUUUAUAGUUACAUUGGUUUCUGUAGUUCCACCUGCUUAUUUUAGUAUUUAUUUGAUCAAGAAAUUUUUAGUGUUCUUGAUAAUAAACCUACUUGGGAAGCUAGAAGAUGACUUUAUCUUAAAUUCUGCAUUCUAGGAUCUUUUAUUGUUAACUAAAAACAUUUGAAAAUCUUUAGGUAUGAUUAGAAACCGUCUUGAGACACAUUUUUUAUAUAGUAGAGCAGGUGAUUAUUGUGGUUUUUAGUAUUUGUAGAUAAAAACUUACAGAUAAAUUCUUUUAACAAUGUCAGAGGUAAUUUUCAUUCUCUCUCAGCCAUUCUUUCUUGUUUAAACCAGUUAUAUACCUCUAGUGUAAUGAGAUACAACUAUGAGUCAUGUUUAUUAUCUAAAACUCUUAAUUUGCUCUUGAAGGUAGCCAUUUAGCCAUACCAUAUAUAAGCUAAUACAUGCAUAUUUAUUUUAUCCCUUUUCCUUUUAAUUCAGAGUUAUCAUUCAGUUCCUCUUUCUUUUCAACAUGCAUCUUUAUAACUUAGUUCUUAACUUUUUUUAAUUUCAUGAGACAUUGGCUAAAGAUAGCCUAAUACAUUUCUUAUAUUUAAUGUUGAUUAGACAAAACCAAAUAGCCAGGUGUCAGCAGCUUCUAAGACUAGGAUAGGCUUAGUGUAGUAAAAGCACAUGUGCCUUAGCACUUGAAACCCAAGACUGGUGGAAGAUCAAGAGUUUGAGGCCAGCAUGGGUUUAAAGUCAGGGAGCAAGCAAGAAAGACAACUUAGUGGAUGGGGCAGCUGUCCUCAAGUCUGACAGAAUGAGUUCAGUGUCCAGAACCUACAUGGUGGAAAGAGAGAGCAGACUCGUGACUUACAUACGCCACGGCCAUGCGUGCACCUACACAUAUUCAAAUAUACACACAUAAAGAAGUCUUAUUUACCAGCAGCAGCAACGCCAGGCUGUGGUGGCGCACACCUUUGGCAGCACUUGGGAGGCAGAGGCUGGCAGAUUUCUGAGUUUGAGGCCAGCCUGGUCUACAGAGUGAGUUCCAGGACAGCCAGGGCUACACAGAGAAACCCUGUCUUGAAAAACAAAAACACAAAACAAAACAAAACAAAAAAAAAAAAAAACAACAACAUCAGCAACAAAAAGAUCUGUUCAGUUGUCUAGGGUGUGGAGUUGUAACUGGUACAGAGUAUUUGCCUGGCAUGAAGAAGGCCUUAUCUUGGUUUUUGUCAAAGGAAGAUAAUGAAAUCUGCAUAUGGAAUAAAUGAUAUAAACAGAAAAAAGUAGGGGCCCUGUAGAUUUUUCUGUAAAUAAUAAAACAGUAGCACAGCCAGGUAGAGCACCUUUUCAUAGAUUUGUAGCUUUAAAUCUACAGUUAUCCAGUAACGAAUAACUAUAGUAGAUCUUUUUCCAGACAUAUAAGCAUAACUAGUACUUAACCCAACAUAAGAUUUUACACAGAAUAUUUUCAUUUUUGUCCACUGUUAUAAACUACUCAUGUAUUGUACUAGACUUGAGAAUUAACUAAAAUUUUAGUGUGACAGUGACAAAAAGUAGUCCUUUUAUAAUGUCUUCUUACUAAACAACAAACUUUUUUGUAUUUUUAGCAAGAUAAAUUUCACAACAUACAGUUCAAACUUCUAAUUCUGGAUCAUUUUAAGGAAAUUUGUUUUCUGUUACUUUCUUCUCCAAAAAACUUUCCUGUUAGCCAGCAAGGAAAUUCUAAGUGAUUAAAUAAUUGAAGCAUUUAUUUUCUCUUCUGUGUAAAAGUCUUUUUACAUAUGAACAUUUAUAAUGUAGGCUUAAUUUUUAGCUACAUUCUUCAUAGAAUAGAAUAAGCUAUUUGCUACAAAUCUAAUCCUAAGUCUAAAUCCAGGGUCAGUUUCUUAACACAUGGGUGGUAUAAAAGGUGGUUUCAGUCUGGUGGUGGGUUUUUAUCCUCUUGUGGAAAAUAAAGUGAAACAUCAGUACUGAAGCCUUGGGUUUUUAAUAUUUCACAAAGGUAACAUUUAGAGAGCUUGAAAAUUCCUGAUACCUGGCACGCAUACAUAAACAAUAAAUCACUUAAUUCCUGUGUAGAUAGCUGAAUUGACUUGUUACUUCUGAAAAGGAAGAAAUAAAGGUAGCAGAUAUAUUCAAAUUAAGAAAAAGCUGCACUCCUGAAUUUUUUUUCCAGAGGAAAAAC